CUCGUCGUUCCCUCUUCGUUGUCGGACGCCGCGGUGUGCGUUUCUUCCGCACGGGGACCCUCGAUCGCGACAGGAGACGACGGAGAGGACGCUCGGACGACCAUGGCCGGAACGGAGACCCCGAACGUCAAGUCGGAACCGGCGAACGCGCCGGCUGAAAACAGCAAUGAGAAUCCGCGCGAGCGGAAUCCACCAGGAGGUGGCGGCGGCGGCGGCGGCGGCAACCGCGGCCCUCGCGGCCGAAAGGGCGGCACGCGUUUCUCGAGCCGCGGCGGCGGUGGAGGCGGAGGAAUGGGUGGCGGUCUGGGAGGCGGCGGCGGCGGCGGCAGGAACGAGACGAUGAAAAUGAGCGAUUCCAUGGAUGGAGGAAUAGAUAACCCUAUAUCUGAAGGAAUAGGAGGAAUGGGUGGAAUGGGAGGUGGAAUGGGAGGUGGUAUGGGAAUGGGCCGUGGCGGUGGAAUGCGAGGAGGCGUAAGAGGUGGUGGUCGUGGUACUGGUGACAGAAAUAUGGCCAAUAGAUCGCAAGACGAUCGAUUGAUGGAACGAGUCAUGGCUAUCGGUGGACCCACUCAUGAAUUACCUCUACAGGAUACAACAGAAAAGAAAUUUAGCGGUAGAAAUCGUUUGUAUAUUGGAAACUUAACAAACGAUGUAACCGAAGAAGAAAUACAGACCAUGUUCCAAAAAUAUGGAGAAAUUUCGGAACUAUUUGUAAAUAAAGAGAAAAGUUUUGCGUUUCUUAGAAUGGAUUAUAAAGCAAAUGCUGACACAGCAAAAAGGGAAUUGGAUGGUACAAUGCGUAAAGGUCGGGCAUUAAAAGUACGCUUCGCUCCUCAUUCAUCGACAAUUAAAGUGAAAAAUCUUACACCUUGGACAUCUAAUGAACUUCUCGAGAGAGCUUUUGGAGUAUUCGGCGAAAUUGAACGUGCGAUAGUUAAAGUUGACGAAAGAGGCAAAACUACCGGCGAAGGAAUUGUCGAAUUUUGUCGAAAACCAUCUGCUCAGCUGGCUCUGAGGAAAUGUACGGAAGGUUGCUACUUUGUCACGGCUUCUCUUCGACCAGUGGUUGUGGAACUGUUUGAACAGCAAGAUGACGUGGAUGGGUAUCCUGACAAGAAUCUGCCACGCAAGAAUCCAGAAUUUUUCAAAGCACGUGAGAUUGGGCCGCGCUUUGCGCAAUUAGGAAGCUUUGAGCAUGAAUAUGGUACACGGUGGAAACAAUUGCACGAACUGUACAAGCAGAAAGAAGAAGCAUUGAAACGAGAAAUGGCGAUGGAAGAAGAGAAAUUAGAAGCUCAGAUGGAAUUUGCCAGAUACGAACACGAGACGGAACUUUUGAGAGAACAAUUGCGUAUGCGCGAAGCGGAUCGUGAGAGACAAAAAAGAGAAUGGGAAAUGAAAGAACGACAAGCUGAGGAACAAAGGACUCGCGAGGAAGAGUUAAGACGUCGUCAGCAAGAAGAGAUGGCAAUCCGUAUUAGGAGACAAGAAGAGGAAUUACAUAGGCGUCAACAAGAAAAUAAUUUGUUUAUGCAGGAGCAGGCAAUCCGAAGUGGAAGUGGAAAAAAUUACGAUUCUGUUAGCAACAAUGAUCGUGAUGGAUAUGGUCAACCUGAUGGUGGAAGCGGCAUGCCAGUGAUUAGCGCACCAGCUGGUUGAACAGAAAAAGGAUUCCUCAGAAAUAUAGUCUGAUAUCUUGAAACUACGUCCAUGCUUGACGUUUUUACACGAAGUACGUAAUACCUGGCUCGUAUAUGUUCAAGGUCCGUAAUGAAAAGGAAAGAAUGCAAAUUGUGAUACUUGGGACAUAUCAAUUAUAAUUAAGAGGUCCAUAAUGAAGUGAAGAAAGCGCAAAUUGAGAUGAUACAUGGAACAUAUCAAUUAUAAUUAAAGGGAUUACGAGGCACUCAGAAAUAUUUUCGUUAAUAAAUCGAAGAAAGCAUUUGUUACAGUGAUGCAAUGAAGCGAAGGGAACGAAACUGAUAAUUCAAAAAUAAUACUAAUUUUUUUAUAUCUAAAUAAAAAGCAUUUCUUUAUUAAUAUUAAUAAUAAUGUGUUAAAACCAGUUUAUUCUAUUAUAUUUAUCUUCAAAUUACCAUGCAAUUUAAUUCACAUGUUACAACGCAACGCAUAAUUAUUUAGGGAAGUAGAUUGAUACGUCAAGAUAAAAUUUAAGAUAAAAGAGGGGAGGUAGAAGAAAAAUCUAAUAAAAUGUAUAUCGUGAAAAAAGCUUUGACAACAUUUUAUUGUUAACCGCAGAAAAAGCCAUAUACACUUUCACACAAAAUCGAUCAUAGUUCGAUAAUAAUAUCGAAAAAUUUAUAAUAAUUGAAAUGUACAUAAAUAUAAAGACGACGACGAUGUUGCACGUUCUUCUCGUGUGUAUGUGUGUGUACCAGAACUGUACAAAAAUGAUCUUUCGCAAACGCACUCUGUGUCGAAUAACUUAUUUGGUGAUGUUAUUCAGGGCUACCAUAUAUUUAUAUAUAAUUCCUCUUUCUUUUUUUCUUUUAUCUUAAUUAAAUUACGAUGCAAGUUGCAAGUUCCGAGGUGCGCUUUUAUUAAAUUUCACAGAGUUUUGACUUCAUGUAUGAGAUGCGAUAUAUUUAAAAUCGAAUACACGGCCGGAGCGGGUGGAAGGAACGAUUUUUGGUGUUUUGCGCUUCUAUAAAUCUAUCUAAAUCCUAUGUACUUUUAGCCGCGACGGUCAAGUGCCAUAUAAUAUAUAUAUGUAUUUUUUUUUUAUUUAUUUAUUGGUACUAUCCGAACGCAGCACGCACUCUUGUUUUCACUUUUCGCGAAUUAAUACAGAUCACUGAACUUUAUAUACUGGAACGCGCACUGUGUGUGUAUUAUGUGUGUGAGUGUGUGUGUGUGGGUGGGUGGGUAAACGAGUCAAAAGAGAUGGCUCUUCAUCGGUAUAACUUUCUAAUAAAUUUUCCUUUAGCAUCCGUAAAGAUAUGACUUAUAACGAACACUCUAAUUAAAACUUUUAACAGAGCUUGUACGAAGCUUUCAGCAUCCUUGAAGGAUAGAGGCGUACCUUUUUCCUCUUUUGCCUCGUUUUUUUCCAUACAAGAAGUACAUGGGAAA